rnacentral:rRNA from 1 species
CUACGGGGCGCAGCAGUGGGGAAUAUUGCACAAUUGGCGCAAGCCUGAUGCAGCAACGCCGCGUGAGGGAUGAAGGCCUUCGGGUUGUAAACCUCUUUUAGCAGGGAAGAAGCGAAAGUGACGGUACCUGCAGAAAAAGCACCGGCUAACUACGUGCCAGCAGCCGCGGUAAUACGUAGGGUGCAAGCGUUGUCCGGAAUUAUUGGGCGUAAAGAGCUCGUAGGCGGUUUGUCACGUCUGCUGUGAAAAUCCAAGGCUCAACCUUGGACUUGCAGUGGGUACGGGCAGGCUAGAGUGCGGUAGGGGAGAUGGGAAUUCCUGGUGUAGCGGUGGAAUGCGCGGAUAUCAGGAGGAACACCAAUGGCGAAGGCACAUCUUUGGGCCGUAACUGACGCUGAGGAGCGAAAGCGUGGGGAGCGAACAGGAUUAGAUACCCCUGUAGUC